GCGCCCGGCUAGUGCUGGAAGUGGUUCCUAUUGGCCAAGGUGUCCGAGUAAAUAGAUGGUUCGAGGGAGGACAUGGAGGCAGCCACCUAGCUCAGCGCAGCCGCGGAGCCCACAGCAGCGCCCUCCCGAGUCCCGAGGCCGCUGCUGCCCACGUCCGCGCCCGGACACUGCCGCCCAGCUCCGCCGUCCGCGGGACACACGGCCCGGACCCGGCGGCUCGGGGCGCUUCGGGGCUGAGCUCCGGAGCCCAGGUCCGCGCGCGGU
rnacentral:lncRNA from 1 species